rnacentral:rRNA from 1 species
GAUGAACGCUGGCGGCGUGCUUAACACAUGCAAGUCGAACGAAGAACGCGAUUUCGGUCGUUAUUAUUAGUGGCGGACGGGUGAGUAACGCGUGAGGAUCUGCCCUUAGGAUGGGGAUAACAGUUGGAAACGACUGCUAAUACCCAAUGUGCCGAGAGGUGAAAGAUUUAUUGCCUGAGGAAGAACUCGCGUCUGAUUAGCUAGUUGGUAGUGUAAAGGACUACCAAGGCAACGAUCAGUAGCUGGUCUGAGAGGAUGAUCAGCCACACUGGGACUGAGACACGGCCCAGACUCCUACGGGA